GGAUGGUGGAUGUGGCAUCUGUCACCCCAUUGAUCUCCAGGGUUGAUUCGGCUGAUCUGGCUGCCUAGGCAGGUGUCCCCUUCCUCCCUCACCGCUCCACGUGCAUCCCUUCCAAAGCUGCUCGCUUGGUUGAAGAGGAUGACCUUUCCCAAUAGAGGAGGACCAUUCUUCAGUCAAGGGUAUAUGAGUAGGUACGCUCCCCUGCUAGAACCUCCAAUCAAGCUCUCAAGGUCCAUUUGUAGGAGAACAUAGGGUAGUCAAGCUUCCAAGACUCUAGACAUAUCCAAAUGAAGUGCUGUAUUUGGCAGUCUGCCUUUCUAU
rnacentral:snRNA from 1 species